GCCACGCUGAAAUGCAAUCCACGUGCACAAGGACACACCCGGUAACUUACAAGGGUGAUCGCCAUUCAUCGACAUCCGCACGUGAAUACGAAGAAAUUCAGCGUUUACACAACUUUACUCAUAUAUUUACACGCAACUUCACUACAAGGUUGACGAAUAAGACCAAAUUUGACUUUCAGGUUUAAUAAAUUAUAAUUCAGUGGUGGAAUGAACGUCCAACCUCAAUCCGGACCGCAGAACCUGCCGCCAUUUUCAAAAAACAGCUGCAGACCCACCUCUUCCAUGAGCACUUAACUAACCCCUACCAUUCCAACCCCACAUUAUUAAAAAUAAUAAUAAUAAUAAUUACUCUGGCUCUUACACCUCGACUCUGCGCACAUAAAUGUUGUACGGUAGCACCACUCGUAUUGUUCUCCGCUGGAUAUAUCGCUUUGCUUGUAUUUCCUCAUUUGUAAGUCGAUUUGGAUAAAAGCGUCCGUGAAACGAAUGAAUGCAAAUGUAAAUAAUGUAAAUGCAAAUGUAAAUAAAGAUGAUAAAUUAAUCAAAUUUGCAUUACCCCCGCCCACACUUUUAGACUUUACGCCCCAAAAUAGGUGUGUAAAAUAUAUGUGUAAAACAGAUGUGUAAAACAGGUGUGUAAAAUAGAUGUGUAAAAUAGGUGUGUAAAAUAGAUGUGUAAAACAGAUGUGUAAAACAGGUGUGUAAAAUAGAUGUGUAAAAUAGGUGUGUACAAUAGGUGUGUAAAACAGGUGUGUAAAACAGAUGUGUAAAAUAGGUGUGUAAAAUAGGUGUGCAAAAUAGGUGUGUAAGAUAGGUGUGUAAAAUAGGUGUGUAAGAUAGGUGUGUAAAACAGGUGUGUAAAAUAGGUGUUUAAAACAGGUGUGUAAAAUAGAUGUGUAAAAUAGGUGUGUAAAAUAGGUGUGUAAAAUAGAUGUGUAAAAGAGGUGUGUAAGAUAGGUGUGUAAGAUAGGUGUGUAAAACAGAUGUGUAAAAUAGAUGUGUAAAAUAGGUGUGCACAAUAGAUGUGUAAAAUAGGUGUGUAAAAUAGAUGUGUAAAAUAGGUGUGUAAGAUAGAUGUGUAAAAUAGAUGUGUAAAAUAGAUGUGUAAGAUAGGUGUGUAAAAUAGAUGUGUAAAAUAGGUGUGUAAAAUAGGUGUGUAAAAUAGGCGUGUAGAUAGGUGUGUAAGAUAGGUGUGUAAAAUAGGUGUGUAAGAUAGGUGUGUAAAAUAGAUGUGUAAAAUAGGUGUGUAAAACAGAUGUGUAAGAUAGGUGUGUAAAAUAGGUGUGUAAAAUACGUGUGUAAAAUAGGUGUGUAAAAUAGGUGUGUAAAAUAGGUGUGUAAAAUAGAUGUGUAAAAUAGAUGUGUAAAAUAGGUGUGUAAAAUAGAUGUGUAAAAGAGGUGUGUCGUUUUGCUCAUGUGAAAGAUAAGACCUGUCUGUAAAUCAGCUCGUACAUUCGGACAGGUUAAUCCUGUCAGUUAUUCCCAGUGUUUUAUGUCAUGGAUUUCUAUAAGAUGGUCCCUGAAGGUUUAAAAGCCAAAGUGCUGAUAAGAAAUAAAAUGACUGUUACUAAAGAAACACUUAAGUGAAAGUAAAAAGACGCCUUAAUGUUAAACUUCACAGCUCAGUCUCCAUGCCUCGUUAGAGAUUACUUUCAGUCACAUCCCAAACUCAGAGAUUCCAUUCUAACAAGACUCGGGUGCGUUUCACCCAUAAUGCACUGCGAGCACACAUCAGACUUAACACUGAGUGUGUCUGACCCUGUUACCCCACCCCCUUUACUAAACACUCCCAGUGCAUUUCAC
ensembl:lncRNA